UCAGGACGAACGCUGGCGGCGUGCUUAACACAUGCAAGUCAACGGGGGAUAUCCGAGCGGAAGGCUCCGGCUGGAAGGUUGGAUAUUCGAGUGGCGGACGGGUGAGUAACGCGUGAACAAUCUGUCCCAGACAGGGGGAUAACACUUGGAAACAGGUGCUAAUACCGCAUAAGACCACAGGGUCGCAUGGUCCAGGGGGUAAAAGGAGCAAUCCGGUUUGGGGUGAGUUCGCGUCCGAUUAGCCAGUUGGUGAGGUAACGGCCCACCAAAGCGACGAUCGGUAGCCGACCUGAGAGGGUGAUCGGCCACAUUGGAACUGAGAGACGGUCCAAACUCCUACGGGAGGCAGCAGUGGGGAAUAUUGGGCAAUGGGCGAAAGCCUGACCCAGCAACGCCGCGUGAGUGAAGAAGGCCUUCGGGUUGUAAAGCUCUGUUAUAGGGGACGAAGGAGUGACGGUACCCUAUAAGGAAGCCCCGGCUAACUACGUGCCAGCAGCUGC
rnacentral:rRNA from 1 species